rnacentral:rRNA from 1 species
UACAGAGGUCUCAAGCGUUGUUCGGAUUCAUUGGGCGUAAAGGGCGCGUAGGCUGCGGGGCAAGUCGGGUGUGAAAUCUCAGAGCUCAACUCUGAAACUGCACUCGAUACUGCUUUGCUCGAGGACUGGAGAGGAGAUUGGAAUUCACGGUGUAGCAGUGAAAUGCGUAGAUAUCGUGAGGAAGACCAGUGGCGAAGGCGGAUCUCUGGACAGUUCCUGACGCUGAGGCGCGAAGGCUAGGGGAGCAAACGGG